rnacentral:rRNA from 1 species
CAAUAGCGUAUAUUAAAGUUGUUGCAGUUAAAAAGCUCGUAGUUGAAUUUUUGCUUGCCGCCGAUGUCGGAACUUCCGUACGUUCGGCGGCGUGCAUCCUUGGGUGGAACCUGUGUGGCAUUAGGUUGUCGUGCAGGGGAUGCUCAUCGUUUACUGUGAGAAAAUUAGAGUGUUCAAAGCAGGCUUACGCCGUUGAAUAUAUUAGCAUGGAAUAAUAAGAUAGGACCUUGGUACUAUUUUGUUGGUUUGCGCACCGAGGUAAUGAUUAACAGGGACAGUUGGGGGUAUUCGUAUUCCAUUGUCAGAGGUGAAAUUCUUGGAUUUCUGGAAGACGAACUACUGCGAAAGCAUUUACCAAGGAUGUUUUCAUUAA